rnacentral:rRNA from 1 species
GACGAACGCUGGCGGCGUGCUUAACACAUGCAAGUCGAACGGAAAGGCCCUGCUUUUGUGGGGUGCUCGAGUGGCGAACGGGUGAGUAACACGUGAGUAACCUGCCCUUGACUUUGGGAUAACUUCAGGAAACUGGGGCUAAUACCGGAUAGGAGCUCCUGCUGCAUGGUGGGGGUUGGAAAGUUUCGGCGGUUGGGGAUGGACUCGCGGCUUAUCAGCUUGUUGGUGGGGUAGUGGCUUACCAAGGCUUUGACGGGUAGCCGGCCUGAGGGGGUGACCGGCCACAUUGGGACUGAGAUACGGCCCAGACUCCUACGGGAGGCAGCAGUGGGGAAUAUUGCACAAUGGGCGGAAGCCUGAUGCAGCAACGCCGCGUGCGGGAUGACGGCCUUCGGGUUGUAAACCGCUUUCGCCUGUGACGAAGCGUGAGUGACGGUAAUGGGUAAAGAAGCGCCGGCUAACUACGUG